ACUCCUACGGGAGGCAGCAGUGGGGAAUAUUGCACAAUGGGGGAAACCCUGAUGCAGCCAUGCCGCGUGUGUGAAGAAGGCCUUCGGGUUGUAAAGCACUUUCAGUAGGGAGGAAGGUAGUGUAGUUAACACCUGCAUUAUUUGACGUUACCUACAGAAGAAGCGCCGGCUAACUCCGUGCCAGCAGCCGCGGUAAUACGGAGGGUGCGAGCGUUAAUCGGAAUUACGUGGGCGUAAAGCGCAUGCAGGCGGCCUGUUAAGUCAGAUGUGAAAGCCCGGGGCUUAACCUCGGAAUUGCAUUUGAAACUGGCAGGCUAGAGUCUUGUAGAGGGGUUAGAAUUUCAGGUGUAGCGGUGAAAUGCGUAGAGAUCUGAAGGAAUACCAGUGGCGAAGGCGGCCCCCUGGACAAAGACUGACGCUCAGAUGCGAAAGCGUGGGAGCAAACAGGAUUAGAUACCCCUGGUAGACUGUCA
rnacentral:rRNA from 1 species